GUCUUCUUGUUAUAUUUAGGAAGUCUGGCCUGCCCAGUGAAAAUAAUUUAACGGCCGCGGUAUACUGACCGUGCAAAGGUAGCAUAAUCAUUAGUCUUUUAAUAGAGGGCUGGUAUGAAGGGUUUAACGAGGUGUUGACUGUCUCAUUUAAUUUGAAUUUAGAAUUUAAUUUUUUAGUUAAAAAGCUAAAAUACUAUUGGAAGACGAGAAGACCCUAUAGAGCUUUAUAUUUUUAUCAAUAAUUUAUUAUAGUUUAUUAUUAUUUAUUAUUGAUAUGAAGUAUUUUGUUGGGGUGACAAAAAUAUAUAAAUAACUUUUUCAUUUAUUUUACAUUGAUAUAUGAAUAUUAGAUCCAAUCUUAUUGAUUGUUAGAUUAAGUUACCUUAGGGAUAACAGCGUAAUCCCUCUCCAGAGUUCAUAUUUACAGAGGGGCUUGCGACCUCGAUGUUGGAUUAAGAUAAUAAUUAGGUGCAGCCGCUUAAUUAAUAGGUCUGUUCGACCUUUAAAUUCUU
rnacentral:rRNA from 1 species